rnacentral:rRNA from 1 species
AACGAACGCUGGCGGCAUGCCUAACACAUGCAAGUCGAACGAGACCUUCGGGUCUAGUGGCGCACGGGUGCGUAACGCGUGGGAACCUGCCCUUAGGUUCGGAAUAACUCCCCGAAAGGGGUGCUAAUACCGGAUAAUGUCUUCGGACCAAAGAUUUAUCGCCUUUGGAUGGGCCCGCGUUGGAUUAGCUAGUUGGCAGGGUAAAAGCCUACCAAGGCGACGAUCCAUAGCUGGUCUGAGAGGAUGAUCAGCCACACUGGGACUGAGACACGGCCCAGACUCCUACGGGAGGCAGCAGUGGGGAAUAUUGGAAAAUGGGCGAAAGCCUGAUCCAGCAAUGCCGCGUGAGUGAUGAAGGCCUUAGGGUUGUAAAGCUCUUUUAACCGGGAUGAUAAUGACAGUACCGGGAGAAUAAGCUCCGGCUAACUCCGUG